ACUCCUACGGGAGGCAGCAGUGAGGAAUAUUGGUCAAUGGAGGGAACUCUGAACCAGCCAUCCCGCGUGUAGGAAGACGGCCUUAUGGGUUGUAAACUACUUUUAUACAGGAAGAAACGUACCCUCGUGAGGGUGCCUGACGGUACUGUAGGAAUAAGCACCGGCUAACUCCGUGCCAGCAGCCGCGGUAAUACGGAGGGGUGCGAGCGUUAUCCGGAUUUAUUGGGGUUUAAAGGGUCCGUAGGCGGAUUAAUAAGUCAGUGGUGAAAUCCCAUCGCUUAACGAUGGAACUGCCAUUGAUACUGUUAGUCUUGAAUGAGGGUGCAGUGGUUGGAAUGUGUAGUGUAGCGGUGAAAUGCAUAGAUAUUACACAGAACACCGAUUGCGAAGGCAGAUCACUAACCCUAAAUUGACGCUGAGGGACGAAAGCGUGGGGAGCGAACAGGAUUAGAUACCCUGGUAGGACAGUG
rnacentral:rRNA from 1 species